GGGGGUGAUUAGGCUUCGACGCGGAUCGCAAAACCUUAUGGUGCAUACCGAGCAGAUAACCUAACUCGUAAAAAUUCGGCUAUAAAUUUAUAGUUGCCAAUAACGACAACUUUGAUGUUGCUGUUGCAGCCUAAGCUGCAGUAGCUUAUAAAAGCAUCCCAUCUCCUCAGUUUGUCUGUGGGUUGAGUCAAGAUGGUAAUAUACACAGAACCGCAGCGGAAUAGUCUUGAUUCUUGCUGUUAAACUUAAGAGGCUAAGCAUAUGGUUUUCCUGUCGAUCGGAUGCUAUAUGACGAAAAUAAAGAUCGAACUAAGUAUGUAGAGCCAAAGGCAGAGGAUUCUCGGACGCGGGUUCAAUUCCCGCCACCUCCACCA
rnacentral:tmRNA from 1 species